UUUUUUUUUUUUUUUUUUUUUUUUUUUUAAGGUUGCACCUGUGGCAUGUGGAAGUUCCCAGACUAAGAGUUUGAAUCUGAACUGUAGCUGCCAGCCUACACCACAGCAAACCUGAUCCUUAACCCCCUGAGUGAGGGAUCAAACCCAUGUCCUCAUGGAUACUAGUUGGGUUUGUUACUGCUGAGCCAUGACAGGAACUCCAGUAAUCGUUUUUUUUAAGUAGCUUUUGUGUUAUUAUUGCUCUUUCCAUACAUGGCCUAACAUAAAAGCUGAGCAUAGUCCUCUUUGUUGCUUAGGCAAAGGGGUCUGUGGGUUGGUUGAAUUAGGUGUAUGAUUAUGUGAUAAUAUGGGUGAAGUGAUGAUCGUGUCAUAAUAAUUAUAACAAACAUUUAUUGAACCCUUAAUUUGCUCCAGAUCCCAUACUAAGCAUUUCCAUGUUAAUUUUGUCAUCUAUGAGGUAGGUAUUCGUAUUGCCAUUUUUUAAUAUGAGAAAACUUAGGCUCUGAGAGGGUAUAUAAUUUACCUUAAAUCACACAGCUAGGAAAUAGUAGAACCAAUGUUAAAACUUACAAACACACACACAUCCAUAUAUAUAUACAUAUAUAUGUAUUUGUUUUUUAGUUGUGGUAAAAUAUCUUAAUGAACUUUUUUUUGGUCUUUUGUCUCUUUUUAGGGCAUCUGCAGCAUAUGGAGGUUCCCAGGCUAGGGGUCGAAUCAGAGCUGUGGCCACUGGCCUACACCAGAGCCACAGCAAUGCGGGGGAUCCGAGCCGCAUCUGCAACCUACACCACAGCUCACGACAACGCUGGAUCCUUAACCCACUGAGCAAGGCCAGGGAUCGAACCCGCAACCUCAUGGUUCCUAAUCGGAUUCGUUAACCACUGCGCCACGACGGGAACUCCUAAAUAAGUUUAUUAUAUCCAUUUGUUUGGGCUGCUAUCCAGCCUUAAAAUGUCAUAUUUGGGAAGAAUAUUGAAGAUGUAGAAAAACACUCAUGACUUAAUAAUAUAAAAAUCUCAAAAGAAGAAUAUAAACUCUACUUAUAUAUCCAUACACAUGUAGUACAUAUGGUAUUAGGUUGAACUGUAUGAAAUUGCCAUUUUUUUGUAGGUCCAGUGAUUGAAUAUGAGCAUUUUCAUGGAAUUUAACUUUCUGUGACAACAGUUAUAAAAAUGUAUUUGUCACAUAUUGUGGAAAGGAAGACUGGAAGCAAAUACAACAAAUUUAUAAAAUGGUUAUUAUGUCUGGAUGAUGAGAUUAUAGGUAAUUUAAAAUAUUUCUUUCUUUUUGUCUUUUAAGGGCCACACCCACGACAUAUGGAGGUUCCCAGGCUAGGGGUUGAAUCAAGUUGCAGCCACUGGCCUACCCCACAGCCAUAGCAACAGCAGUGCCAGAUAUGAGCCAUGUCUUCGACCUACACCACAGCUCAUGGCAACGCUGGAUCCUUAACCCACUGAGCAAGGCCAGGGAUCAAACCUGCCUCCUCAUGGUUACUAGUCAGAUUCGUUUCUGCUGAGCCACGAUGCGAACUCCACCAAAUAUUUCUUUUUUACAUGUCUACAUUUUAAAAAAUUUCUACUUGGUCUUAGAUUUGACCAAGUAGAUUUGACCAAGUAAGGCAAAAUAAGUUGCUAACAAAACCAGUUAUUGGAAUCAACUGUUAAACUUCUGUGAAAA
rnacentral:lncRNA from 1 species